CCCGAAACCCGGUGAUCUAGCCAUGGGCAGGUUGAAGGUUGGGUAACACUAACUGGAGGACCGAACCGACUAAUGUUGAAAAAUUAGCGGAUGACUUGUGGCUGGGGGUGAAAGGCCAAUCAAACCGGGAGAUAGCUGGUUCUCCCCGAAAGCUAUUUAGGUAGCGCCUCGUGAAUUCAUCUCCGGGGGUAGAGCACUGUUUCGGCAAGGGGGUCAUCCCGACUUACCAACCCGAUGCAAACUGCGAAUACCGGAGAAUGUUAUCACGGGAGACACACGGCGGGUGCUAACGUCCGUCGUGAAGAGGGAAACAACCCAGACCGCCAGCUAAGGUCCCAAAGUCAUGGUUAAGUGGGAAACGAUGUGGGAAGGCCCAGACAGCCAGGAUGUUGGCUUAGAAGCAGCCAUCAUUUAAAGAAAGCGUAAUAGCUCACUGGUCGAGUCGGCCUGCGCGGAAGAUGUAACGGGGCUAAACCAUGCACCGAAGCUGCGGCAGCGACGCUUAUGCGUUGUUGGGUAGGGGAGCGUUCUGUAAGCCUGUGAAGGUGUGCUGUGAGGCAUGCUGGAGGUAUCAGAAGUGCGAAUGCUGACAUAAGUAACGAUAAAGCGGGUGAAAAGCCCGCUCGCCGGAAGACCAAGGGUUCCUGUCCAACGUUAAUCGGGGCAGGGUGAGUCGACCCCUAAGGCGAGGCCGAAAGGCGUAGUCGAUGGGAAACAGGUUAAUAUUCCUGUACUUGGUGUUACUGCGAAGGGGGGACGGAGAAGGCUAUGUUGGCCGGGCGACGGUUGUCCCGGUUUAAGCGUGUAGGCUGGUUUUCCAGGCAAAUCCGGAAAAUCAAGGCUGAGGCGUGAUGACGAGGCACUACGGUGCUGAAGCAACAAAUGCCCUGCUUCCAGGAAAAGCCUCUAAGCAUCAGGUAACAUCAAAUCGUACCCCAAACCGACACAGGUGGUCAGGUAGAGAAUACCAAGGCGCUUGAGAGAACUCGGGUGAAGGAACUAGGCAAAAUGGUGCCGUAACUUCGGGAGAAGGCACGCUGAUAUGUAGGUGAAGUCCCUCGCGGAUGGAGCUGAAAUCAGUCGAAGAUACCAGCUGGCUGCAACUGUUUAUUAAAAACACAGCACUGUGCAAACACGAAAGUGGACGUAUACGGUGUGACGCCUGCCCGGUGCCGGAAGGUUAAUUGAUGGGGUCAGCGCAAGCGAAGCUCUUGAUCGAAGCCCCGGUAAACGGCGGCCGUAACUAUAACGGUCCUAAGGUAGCGAAAUUCCUUGUCGGGUAAGUUCCGACCUGCACGAAUGGCGUAAUGAUGGCCAGGCUGUCUCCACCCGAGACUCAGUGAAAUUGAACUCGCUGUGAAGAUGCAGUGUACCCGCGGCAAGACGGAAAGACCCCGUGAACCUUUACUAUAGCUUGACACUGAACAUUGAGCCUUGAUGUGUAGGAUAGGUGGGAGGCUUGGAAGUGUGGACGCCAGUCUGCAUGGAGCCGACCUUGAAAUACCACCCUUUAAUGUUUGAUGUUCUAACGUUGACCCGUAAUCCGGGUUGCGGACAGUGUCUGGUGGGUAGUUUGACUGGGGCGGUCUCCUCCUAAAGAGUAACGGAGGAGCACGAAGGUUGGCUAAUCCUGGUCGGACAUCAGGAGGUUAGUGCAAUGGCAUAAGCCAGCUUGACUGCGAGCGUGACGGCGCGAGCAGGUGCGAAAGCAGGUCAUAGUGAUCCGGUGGUUCUGAAUGGAAGGGCCAUCGCUCAACGGAUAAAAGGUACUCCGGGGAUAACAGGCUGAUACCGCCCAAGAGUUCAUAUCGACGGCGGUGUUUGGCACCUCGAUGUCGGCUCAUCACAUCCUGGGGCUGAAGUAGGUCCCAAGGGUAUGGCUGUUCGCCAUUUAAAGUGGUACGCGAGCUGGGUUUAGAACGUCGUGAGACAGUUCGGUCCCUAUCUGCCGUGGGCGCUGGAGAACUGAGGGGGGCUGCUCCUAGUACGAGAGGACCGGAGUGGACGCAUCACUGGUGUUCGGGUUGUCAUGCCAAUGGCACUGCCCGGUAGCUAAAUGCGGAAGAGAUAAGUGCUGAAAGCAUCUAAGCACGAAACUUGCCCCGAGAUGAGUUCUCCCUGACUCCUUGA
rnacentral:rRNA from 1 species